rnacentral:rRNA from 1 species
AGAACGAACGCUGGCGGCGUGCCUAACACAUGCAAGUCGAACGAGAAAGGGACUUCGGUCCUGAGUAAAGUGGCGCACGGGUGAGUAACACGUAGGUAACCUGCCUCUAAGAUUGGGAUAACCUGUCGAAAGACGAGCUAAUACCGAAUAAGACCACGAUUCCCUCGGAGAUUGAGGUCAAAGGUAGCCUCUACUUGUAAGCUAUCACUUAGAGAUGGGCCUGCGUACCAUUAGCUAGUUGGUGGGGUAACGGCCUACCAAGGCUAAGAUGGUUAGCUGGUCUGAGAGGAUGAUCAGCCACACUGGAACUGAGACACGGUCCAGACUCCUACGGGAGGCAGCAGUGGGGAAUAUUGGACAAUGGGCGCAAGCCUGAUCCAGCCAUGCCGCGUGGAUGAUGAAGGCCUUAGGGUUGUAAAGUCCUUUUAACGGGGAAGAUAAUGACGGUACCCGUAGAAUAAGCCCCGGCUAACUUCGUGCCAGCAGCCGC